GGCGCGGUAGCUCCAGCUGGUUAGAGCGCAUGAUUCAUAAUCAUGAGGUCGAGAGUUCAAGUCUCUCUCGCGCUA
rnacentral:tRNA from 1 species